GUGUCAUUUGAAAGGAGAGCAGGUUAGCACUCCCCUUGACAAGGAUGGAACACACAAUCUGAGAUCAGUAGGCACUUUCAGAAGAAAGCUGAUCUCGGCCAUUUUUU
rnacentral:ncRNA from 1 species